rnacentral:lncRNA from 1 species
UGAGUUUGUCGUUGGGGGCAAUUUUCGGGGCCUUCAUGUACCUGACAAUAGUCGCUUCGAAGAGUGCCUUGAUAUAAGGGAGAGGGAUUUCAUCUCCGAAAAAUGAGGGGGCAAUUGGGUUGUGGGUCCUUUAGACCUUGCCAAGCCUAUCUCAUACGAUUCCUAUCUCUUCCUUGAUCAUAGCUUUUAUUGCCUCUCUCAGGUCGAGCUUGUAGGCGAGAACGAUGGGUUAGUUCGUCGUUUGGCUGUUGGUUUCAGCGAAGUGAUCUUUUCUUUUGUGCGAGUUGUGACUGGC